GGGCCCGCACAAGCGGUGGAGUAUGUGGUUUAAUUCGAUGCAACGCGAAGAACCUUACCAGGGUUUGACAUCCUGCGAAUCUCUUGGAAACAGGAGAGUGCCUUCGGGAACGCAGUGACAGGUGGUGCAUGGCUGUCGUCAGCUCGUGUCGUGAGAUGUUGGGUUAAGUCCCGCAACGAGCGCAACCCACGUCUUUAGUUGCCAGCAUUUAGUUGGGCACUCUAGAGAGACUGCCGGUGAUAAACCGGAGGAAGGUGUGGAUGACGUCAAGUCAUCAUGCCCCUUACAUCCUGGGCUACACACGUACUACAAUGGCAAGUACAACGAGUCGCAAUACCGCGAGGUGGAGCA
rnacentral:rRNA from 1 species